rnacentral:lncRNA from 1 species
CUGAGCUCCAAGGGCCGGCGCCGCGCGUGCCUGCGGUCCCAGCUGCUCGGGAGGCCCAGGCAGGAGAAUCGCGUGACCGGGAGUUCUGCGCUGCAGUGCGCUGUGCCGAUCCAGGUCCUCACUGAAGCCGGCAUCAGUAUGGUGGCCUCUGCCACCAGGCCGCCUAGGGAGGGGCGAGGCAGCCCCAGUUGGAAACGGAGCGCGUCAGUAGUGGCAUCGCGCCUGGGAAUAGCCUCUGCGCUCCAGCCGGGUCGACCUGCCGAGACUCCGCCUCUAAAACCAGCAAAUACCGGGAGGCUGAGGGACGAGGACCGCUGGAGCCCGGGAGGCGGAGGUUGCAGUGAGUAGCUGGGAUUACAGGCAGGCGCCACCACGCCCGGGUCCAUUAUUGGGCGAAGGUCACUGCAGACUCAGGGAGGCCCAGGAGCUCACCCCAACCAGCUUCUUUACCAGAGACAAGACGUCUAUAAACCACCAAUCUGUUUAAAGAGACCACCAAAUGUUCAGACCAUGAAACUGAAAGAAUCAAAAUAAAGUUGUCACUAUGCCACCAACGGACAAAAGCCAGGAGCACACAACCAGGGGUCAUACUCACUGAAGGUCCCCCACCCUGAUGGCCAGUCAGGGGCGGCUUGCGGGUCUCAGAGAGGGCUCACCACCUGCUUGCAGUCAUUGGGGAUGGGAAGGUAAGUCCAACCCAUGCCAGGUCAAGGCACAAAGACUGUGGGGGGAAUGCACCAGACACAUAAAGAGAUGACUUUAUUCAGGCUACUGCUAUGGGAAGAAAACUCACUAAUGAGGAAGGAGGGGCCUGGUAAAUAAGAGACUCAUGUGGAAGGCUGGAGGCGGGGUCUUAGAAUGGACAAGGGCAAAGUGCUCCUUCUGGUCUCACUAUUUCUCAGAACGCAAAGGAAGAGGCAAUUUCUCAGUGAGCACCAUUUCCCUGGAACCCAGGGCUGAGAUGAAUUUCAGUACUGCCAGCGGCCUCCGCGUUCUCCUGUGUGUGUAGGAGUUUGUGUGUUCCAGUGUGCGUGUUCCCACUGUGUCUUGGUGUUUCUGUGUGCCUGGUGGCAUGUCUGUGUGUGUAUCUGCAGGGUGAAAGACCACAGAUACUAUCCGAAUUCCCGUGCUCAAGUGCGCCUCCUGCCUUGGCUUUCCUGAGUGUGGGGAUGACAGGCGUGAGCCACCACGCUGGGCCUCAUGAUCUGUUUCUAGUGCAGUGAGUGCAUCUUAGGGUGGGUGCCCGCCUCCAUGCUUAGUAGGGCAUGGAUGCUGUGUAUGCCAUCUGUCGGUAGGAUGGUUACACUUCUGUGUGUUGGCUGAUGUGUGUGUCUCAGUAUUUAGUCGGCUCUGGUGGCACAUGUGUGUGUUGCAGGUUGUAUAAGUUGCUGUUUCUCUGUGUCUGGUGGAAGGUGUCUAUGGUUGCAGAGUGAGGGUCUCUUGGUGUUUCUGUGUGUCAGAGGGUGUGUGUGUGUGUGUGUGUGUGUGUUUUGCAGGAUGAGGUGUGUUCUGUGAGUGUGAUGUGGGGGGUGCAGGGUGCAUAUCUGUGUCUACAUUUCUUUUUUUUCUUCUUCUUCUUUUUUUUGAGACAGAGUCUCGCUCUGUCGCCCAGGCUGGAGCGCAGUGAUGCGAUCUCCACUCACUGCAAACACUGCCUCCCAGGUUUAAGCAAUUCUCCCAGCUCAGCCUCCCAAGUAGCUGAGAUUACAGGCGCAUGCCACCACGC